rnacentral:lncRNA from 1 species
AUAAUGUUAUUUAAGGCUCUGUUUGGGACAAUUGUUUUGGAACAUUUCCUGGUUUAAAUUAGUGGAUGAACAACUGAACAACAGAUAUCUUUCUGGAUAUAUAGCAGUCUGUGCCCUGUGGGGUGUGUUUGGUUGGCUCACUAUGCUUGAAAAAUAGUCAGGGACUUUCGACUUCUCUUGGUUUUUAGCACAUCAAGGGAAUGGGGUGGAUUCAAAUAUAGGAAGACGUAAGUUGCUGAGUCAAUUGCUUAUUUUGAUAUAAAUAAACUGUUUUGGACCGUGCAACUGCUCUACAAUGCACAUUUUGUGUUCAUGUCUGCUUCAAUCACACCUUGUGAGUUGUAAUUGCUACCACACAAUUAUAUUGUGGGUAACCUGGUUUUCUAAAGACACUGUGUAUCAAUUCUUAAUCUUCUGUUUAGCUUUCUGUUGUGGUUUGUUUUUGUAGACAGGUUUCUUAGCCUUGAAUGUAUGGCAACCAAAGGUUGUUUGGGGUAGGCAAAAACAGAAGGUGGAACAACGACAUGCGCUUAAGAUUUAACCUAACUUUGUAAGCAACAUAUUAUGAGGUUGGAGAUGUUCUAUGAUGUAAGUGUUCAUGUUUGCAUAUAAUGUGUUAUCUAUAAAGGAUGAUGAGAUGUUGUUACUUAUGCAAAAUUGUACCUGGAAAACUAAAAUGUGUUGGCUUAAUGCUGCAAUGGUUGUGAGCCUCUGACAUGAAUUCAUUCAAUAUUUGUCUAAAAAUCAAAAUUAUUUGUUGCCUAGCAUGAAUUCAUUUUAUAUAAUUUCUAAUAUGAGAUGAUGUCUUCUUUGUGUGUUUAAUCAUGAUGCUUAACUGUGUAUUUCACCUUUUUUUGUUACUUAUGGUGGUUGUUUUGGUUUUUGUUCUUAUCAUGGCAAAUAAUUUGAAUUUGGUGUUACAAAGUGAGCUUGAGAAUAUAUAGAAAGAUGCUAUGAGAACAUUGAAUUCACUUGAUUUUUGAAUCUCAUUGAGUUUGGUGUUCUAUGUUAAAAAAAUUAAAACUACUACCAUAGGAUGAAGCAAGAGUUUUAGAAUCAAGUGUUCUUUGACAGGAAGAUAUCUCUAUAGUUGAAGACAUGUUACUUGACGUAGCGUGUUUGUUAUUAUGUUAUAUUACUUUAUCAGAUUUUAUGGAUGGUGGUGUGGCUAUGUAUGAAUUAUGUUAUUUUUUUCCUUAUUUUAUGGAUGGUGGUGUGGCUAGGUUUGAAUUCAUACGUUGAAGAUGACAAAGAGUGAUGCUUUGAUGACAAAUUUGGCCAGGUUUCUUUCCCCUUCACGUGUUUCACUUUUCCCUUUUUUUCGUUUUUUAGAUCAUUUUGUCUCAUUUUGUUGUGAAUUUAUGUUAGGUAUUUCAUUUUGUCUCACUGUUUUUGUUAGGCAAAUUCAACAUUGUGAAGCUUGAAAGAAGAAUGACUAUGCAGCUUGAAAGAAAAAAGAUACAAUUGGAAAAUAAAAGAAGAAUUAUGUCAUAUAUUUUAGGCUUUACGUGAAGUUCAUGAGAUUGAUACCGAGGUCUGCAAAAUUUUAUGUAAAGUUUCUAAACCUUUGCUCUUUAAACUUCAUGUCAACUAUUUCUAAAUCAUUGCUCUUUAAACUUUCUGUUUUUCUACUACUUCGUUAGUUAUUUCAUCUAUUUCUUGCUUCAUUUCCUCUAUUUCUUGCUUCAUUUCCUCUAUUUCAUGCUUCUGAUUGAUACCUAUUUUUGUUGAAUUAUGCAUUAGCCUUGGUUAGCAUAACUCCAAAAUAUAUGCUUAUGGAAUAUGUGUUUCUUUAUUUUCAUAUCCAGAUGUUUGUGCUUAACUAUUCAGAGUUGGUUCAAGGUAAUUUUCUGCAUAAUUUGGAGUGAGAUCGGGGUGAUUUUCUGCAUAAUUUAGAGUUGGCUUUCGGCAUGUGGACUAAUGUAGUGCAGCAGCAGUGUUUUUGCACUGCAGCUUCUACCUGGUGGCGUUUUUUCCUCCCUGCGUUCUGAUUUGUCUCUGUGUUCCAGCUGCAACAUAUCGGUUUUACUUUCUUCUCUUUGCCUUGGUCUUCGUGUGUUUUGGCUCAAUUUACAAAAAAAAUACUGUCUUUUUAACUGGCUGUUUGUAUUGGUCUCCUGUUGCUUUUUUAGAAUAGGUUGUUGUAGUUUGGCUCUUUAGUGUAGUUGAUUUUGGUUUGUUUUCUUUGGGAUAGUUUCUUAUGUUCUCUUGGUUCUCAUUUCCUUGGGUUUCUUUUACUGCUACUGCAUAACUACUGUAUGUCAUGUUUGUCUUUUUAUAAUGUUCAUAUAAAUUUUGUGUAGUCUCAAAACUACAGGUAAUCCUUACAAAAAUAAGUUAUGGACCUUAGUGGAUUAGUUGUUGUGAGCAGCAUGUCAAGGAAGCAAAUUUAGGACAUAGUACAUGGCCAUUGAAGAACUGCUUGGGGCUGCCAAUCGCAUGCUUAAUUUGUGAGUAUAAGUUUGGAACUAUUUUUUUAUUGUAAUUUUAUUAGUGUAAGUCAACUGAUAAAGGUUAAUCAAUAAUCACUCUCUUUUGUCUAUGAUAUUUUUUGAAAAGUCUACAAUUUUUUUCUUUGUUAUAAAGGUUAUUUGUUGUUGUCAGCUUCAUAAUAUUUAUCAAAGAUUAUAUGCUAUGGAUUUUGAACAACUCAGUUGGACCAAGCAUGGCUCAUACCAUAUCAAUUUAAGACUACAAGUAUCUUUGAUUUUUAAUUUAUCAAUCUAACAAUUACAAUCUUUGCAAAAUCACGGAUCUCAUAUUCUGCAGCGCGCUACAAAUGUAUGUUGAUUGCAAGUUGCAACUAUAUCAGUUUGUUUUGAGUUGUAAGUAAACAUUAUAUGAUGGUAUUGUUGACAUAAGUAAAUAUUGGGGGUUUUGAGUCUAUUUUGGCCAUUUUGAUCAAUUUGUAAGGUAUCAACUACUGUUUGAAAGUUCUUUCUUUGCUUGGUUUCAUGAUUUUUCAAGGAGCAUUACUUUGUGUGGCUAAUUUAGAUUGAUUUUUUAUAUCGAAUCGUUGAUAGAGCUAUUCUUUUGUUGUUGCACAUGAUUUGACAGAUGUGGUGUGUAUUUAUAUACGUUCGGGACUGGUGUGGUGCCAAUAUGCCUUCAAAAUUAUAGGUAUCUCAACCAAGAAUAUCCAAUAAGGAAUUGGAAGAGCUAAACACUUCAACAUGCAAGAAAGUACAGUUUAUGGCAUAUGUUGAUGGAAGUGGUAGAGAUUUGAUGAUCACUAACGGCUUAGGGGAGUUGUGUUGAUAUUUACUGUGACAAAGGUUUGUAGUAUGACGAUUUGUGAAAAGUUGUAAUGAGUAUUGUAAUCGGUAGUGUUGGCACUAUUGUGUUGUCUCCAUACAUCAUUCAUUAGUAAUAUUAAUUUUUCAUUAAAUAGCCAGGUUUGAAUGCAAACUUAGAUUAUUGUUUUACAAUCAAACAAAUGCAAACUUACAAGGAUGAGGCAAAUAUAAGGCUUCAUAAGCAAUAGUAAGUGCAAUUUGCCUGGUGAUAACUUCUUUGUAAAAAUAAAAAUCUC